GAAUUAUCGUAUAUGAUAUACGAAUAGUAGGGAGAAUCUGUAACAUAUUAUUAGUUAUCAUUUUCUUGUCAAUUAAAAAUAUCUUUAAAUUUAUCAGAAUAUUUACAAGAUACGUGAUAUUUAUUAAUAUAAUAAAUAAAUAAAGCAUAAUAAUUUAAAAUUUAUUAUUUGAGUUAAUUAAUUUUAAUUUGAUAAUUCAUAAGUUGCUCAUAAUAAAUUGUUUCAGUUAUUAAACAUAAAAUUUAGUGAAAUAUUGAUGAUAUCUUUAUUGUUUAUAAUUAUAAUUAUUUAAUAAUUGUGCAAUUUAAAAUUUUAAUAUUUAUAUAAAGAAAUGACAUCUAUUACAAUACUAAGCAAAGAUGUGCCUGAUAUCGAAAAUCUUUUACAUUUAAAUCCAAAAAUAAAACCAUUUGCGAAUGUCGUUCCAUCAGCAAUUACCAAAGAGAAUAAAAGAAAAUGGAAAAGGAACAUUAACGAAAAUUGUAGUAAAUGUCCACCUUUGAUAAAAAAUUUCGAUGACAUUAAACGCACAACAUUAAGCGAACGUGGUGCAUUAAAAGAAGCUGCGCGUUGUUUAAAAUGUGCAGACGCUCCUUGUCAAAAAUCGUGUCCAACACAAUUAGACAUUAAAUCUUUUAUUACUUCUAUUUCAAAUAAAAAUUAUUAUGGGGCAGCAAAAGCAAUUUUAUCUGAUAAUCCUCUUGGACUUACAUGUGGUAUGGUUUGUCCGACAAGUGACCUUUGCGUAGGAGGAUGUAAUUUAUACGCAUCCGAAGAAGGACCUAUCAAUAUCGGCGGUCUUCAACAAUUUGCUACAGAUAUCUUUAAACAGAUGAACAUAUCUCAAACUAGAAUUCCUGGACAAAAUGUUUCACAUGCAGACACUAAGAUCGCCUUGCUCGGCUGUGGACCAGCUUCUUUGUCUUGUGCAACAUUUCUUGCACGUUUAGGUUAUAAUAAUAUAACAAUUUUUGAAAAACAAAAUUACAUUGGUGGAUUGAGCUCGUCAGAAAUUCCACAAUAUCGGUUACCAUAUGAUAUUGUUAACUUUGAGAUUGAUCUUGUUAAAGAUUUAGGAGUAAAGAUUGAAUUGGGUAAAGAAUUAUCCAAGGAUAAUUUAACGAUAGAGGGUCUUCAAAAUUCCGGAUAUAAAGCGAUCUUUUUAGGAAUCGGUCUUCCAGAAGCAAAAGCUAUUCCAAUUUUCUCAAAUCUUACAGAAGAAAUGGGUUUUUUUACGUCAAAGAGUUUUUUACCAAAAGUAGCAAAAGGUAGUAAACCGGGAAUGUGCGCAUGUAAAAGAAAUGAAUUACCUUCUCUUCAUGGUAAAGUUGUUGUCCUCGGAGCUGGAGAUACAGCUUUCGAUUGUGCUACUUCUGCUCUAAGAUGUGGAGCAAAGAAAAUUUAUGUAGUUUUUAGAAAAGGAUUUACUAAUAUUCGAGCUGUACCUGAAGAAUUUGAUUUAGCAAAAGAAGAAAAAUGUGAGUUUAUUCCUUUUCAAUCACCGAAACAAGUAAUUGUUCGAAACGGAAAAAUAAUUGCAAUAGAAUUUUACCGAACAGAGGAAAACGAAAAUGAUGAAUGGAUAGAAGAUAAAGAACAAAUUUGUAGAUUAAAAGUUGAUUUUGUAAUAUCUGCCUUCGGAUCAGGAUUGCAAAAUCAAGAGGUAAUACAAGCCAUGGUACCCAUUAAAAUGAAUAAAUGGAACUUACCGGAAGUAGAUUCACAAACCAUGAGUACUUCAAUUCCCGGAGUUUUUUGCGGUGGAGAUCUUGCUGGAAUUGCUCAUACUACUGUUGAAUCUGUAAAUGAUGGUAAAACUGCUGCAUGGUAUAUUCACAAAUUUAUUCAGAAUUCUUAUAAUCUGGAAGUACCUAAAAUACCUCAAUUACCUAAAUUUCAUACCCCAAUCGAUGAUAUUGAUUUAUCUAUUGAAAUAUGUGGUUUAAAAUUUGAAAAUCCUUUUGGUCUUGCUUCUGCACCACCGACCACUUCUAGUACCAUGAUUAGACGAGCUUUUGAGGCUGGAUGGGGUUUUGUAGUUACAAAAACAUUUUCUUUGGAUAAGGAUCUUGUUACAAAUGUGUCUCCACGAAUAAUUAAAGGUACAACUUCUCGACAUCAUUACGGUCCGGAACAGGGCAGUUUUUUAAAUAUUGAAUUGAUAUCUGAAAAAUCGGAAGCUUAUUGGUGCAAUAGUAUUAUAGAAUUAAAAAAAGAUUUUCCGACUAAGAUUCUUAUUGCUAGUAUUAUGUGUUCGUACAAUAGAGCAGAUUGGACAGAACUUUCUCAAAAAGCAGAAAGAGCUGGGGCUGAUGCUUUAGAAUUAAAUUUAUCUUGUCCUCAUGGAAUGGGAGAAUCUGGAAUGGGUUUGGCUUGCGGCCAGGAUCCUGUAUUGGUCAGAAAUAUUUCAAGAUGGAUUCGGGAAGCUGUGAAGAUACCAUUUUUUGUGAAAUUAACACCAAAUAUUACUGAUAUUGUUUCAAUAGCUAAGGCAGCUUAUGAAGGUCAUGCUAAUGGAGUAUCUGCCAUAAAUACUGUUCAAAGUUUAAUGGGAUUGCAUGCAGAUGCAACUCCAUGGCCAGCUGUUGGAAUUAAAAAAGCUACAACGUAUGGGGGUAUGUCAGGUAAUGCAACCAGACCUCAAGCUUUAAGAGCUAUUUCUGCCAUUUCUAAAGCUCUUCCUGGAUUUCCCAUACUUGGAAUUGGUGGUAUUGAUUCAGCAGAUGUUGCUCUUCAAUUUUUACAUUGUGGUGCAUCACUUUUACAGGUUUGCAGUGCUGUACAAAAUCAGGAUUUUACUUUAAUUGAUGAUUAUACAACUGGUUUAAAAGCGUUAUUAUAUUUGAAGAAUUUAAAACAAGUAAAAAAUUGGGAUGGACAAAGCCCACCAACGUUUAAACAUCAGAAAGGAAAACCUGUUGUUUUACAACAUGCUCUUGGCAAAAAUAUACCAUAUUUUGGAGAAUAUCAAAAAUUACGGGAAGCAAAAAUAGCUGAAAUUAAGGCUAUUUCGAAUCCGCUUGAUAAACUCAAGAUUACUAGAUCUAGUCCAGAACCUAUUACAGCUAUACCAAGUAUAAAAGAUGUUAUUGGCAAAGCUUUAAAUUAUAUUGGCACAUACAAGGAUUUGAAUAACAAAGAACAAGUAAUAGCAUUGAUAGAUGAUGAUAUGUGUAUAAAUUGUGGAAAAUGUUAUAUAGCUUGUGCCGAUUCUGGUUAUCAAGCAAUUAAAUUUGACUCUGAAACUCAUAUUCCAACAGUAACAGACGAUUGUACGGGUUGUACUCUUUGUCUUUCAGUAUGUCCUAUUAUUGAUUGUAUUACUAUGAUACCUAAAAGGAUACCUCAUAUUAUUAAUAGAGGAGUAUCAUUAAAAGAAUGUUUCAAUUUUGAAGAAUAAAAUUUUAAUAUCUAUAAUUUCAUAUUGGCUGCUUGCCUAAAAAAAAAGAAAAUAUUUAAAUAUCUUAUAUCAAUAAGUACUAUAAUUAUAUCAUAAUACAUUCAUUUGUAUCUGAAGUUUGUUGAUCUUGCAAGGCACGUCGUUUCUGAAGUCUCGUACAACGUGGACAACAGUGAUUUUGUUUCGACCAACAUGCACGAUGAUGAACUGCUGUACAUUGAUGACAACUAAUAGAACUUGCAUCCCAUGGAUAUAUAACUUCAUCAUUACCACACAAUUCACAUAAAUGACCUCUAUAAAUUAAUAUUUAAAAUUUUAAUUUUAAUAUUUAAAAUAAUUUGAAUAAAAUAUCCAUUUGUUCAAAAUUUA